rnacentral:rRNA from 1 species
AGCAUAUCAAUAAGCGGAGGAAAAGAAACCAACAGGGAUUGCCCUAGUAACGGCGAGUGAAGCGGCAACAGCUCAAAUUUGAAAUCUGGCUCUUGUAGGGCCCGAGUUGUAAUUUGCAGAGGGUGCUUUGGCGUUGGCCGCGGUCUAAGUUCCUUGGAACAGGACGUCACAGAGGGUGAGAAUCCCGUACGUGGCUGCGUGUCUUCGCCGUGUAAAGCCCCUUCGACGAGUCGAGUUGUUUGGGAAUGCAGCUCUAAAUGGGGGGUAAAUUUCUUCUAAAGCUAAAUAUUGGCCAGAGACCGAUAGCGCACAAGUAGAGUGAUCGAAAGAUGAAAAGCACUUUGGAAAGAGAGUCAAACAGCACGUGAAAUUGUUGAAAGGGAAGCGCUUGCAGCCAGACCUGCCUGUAGUUGCUCAUCUAGGCUUCUGCCUGGUGCACUCUUCUGCGGGCAGGCCAGCAUCAGUCCGGGCGGUUGGAGAAAGGCCUCUUUCAUGUAUCUUCCUUCGGGAUGACCUUAUAGAGGAGGCGCAAUGCAGCCAGUCCGGAUUGAGGUCCGCGCAUCUGCUAGGAUGCNGGCGUAAUGGCUGUAAGCGGCCCGU